AUGAGGAUGGUGAUGAGAGUCAUGGUGGUUGUGCUUUCUGCUGUGUUGACUGACAGAUCUGAGUCCUGCAGUGUUGAACUCCCAGGACUAUAAACCUUCUCAGUUCACUGGAGGAUCAGCUGACCAUGCAAAGCCUCCUCUCUAUGGAAAUGAUUUCUCUGCUCUCAACAGACUGAAGGCAACGUGGGACACAACAUCAGGAGAAAUACUGCUCGCAUUAACAAUAUCUCUGAUCUUAAUGGAAUAGAAGAAUAUGUUGAUAUUAGAAGUGCAGUUGAGGAUUUAAGGAUGAGUUUGUGUCCACUGUGGUUGGUAUGAGAUGUCUGUUUGUCUGCCUUUAAAUUACUUACAGGGCUUACUGAAGAUAAAUAACAUAUUUCACUUCUGCUUGAAAUUUUGCAUUAAUUAUUAUUAUUUAAAAUAAUCAUAUUCAUUUAACUUUGUAUCAACUGAUAUAAAACUAUGAAAAAUGCCUUUGUUACAAGGAGACUGUAAUCGUUUCUCUGUCAGGUGUAGAAAAGUAAAGCAAAAUUAAACAAAUUAUCUUCUUUAUGCAAUAAUUUCAAUCUGUAUCAUUAUUAAACCAUUGUAUAUUCAAUUAUGUAUGAAAAUGUCUGUGAGAUUAGAAAAAUCAGAGAGUUUUCAGUGGAUAGAUGCUUGUUCCCAGUGCAGGAGGUUUUUGUACGGCCUCUUAAUGAGUUUGUAUCACUGUGGUACACUUUUGGUGGAGGAACCAAACUCACCGUUGACUUGGGUGUCGUGCGGCCCACCCUGAGCCUCCUCCCCCCCUCCAGAGAGGAGCUGCAGCAGGGCAGUGCCACACUGGUGUGUCUGGCCAGCGGGGGCUUCCCCUCAGCCUGGAGGCUGGGCUGGAAGGUGGGGGGCAGCAGCAGCUCCUCAGGGGUGUCCCACAGCCUGGAGGUCCUGGGGGGGGACGCCCACUACAGCUGGAGCAGCACCCUGAGCCUCCCUGCAGACCAGUGGAGGAAGGCGGGCUCAGUGAGCUGUGAGGCCAGUCUGAAUGGACAGAGCCCUGUCACUCAAAACCUGGACCCUGACCACUGCUCAGAGUAGAGCUUCAGCAACACUUCCUGUCUGGAAAUGAUGCUGCUUCUUUGGUAGAGAUCUUGAUGAAGCUACACAUCUCCUCUGCUCACAUAUUUCUGCACGUUUCACAGCUCUCUACUCUGUGUUUUAGUGUGCAUGUUGCUUUCUUAUACUCAUCUUCUGCAUAUUCUUCUUUAUGUUCAUCACUAUUCAUGUUAAACUAAAUUUAAUUAGUUUCACUCCAAGAGAAAGUAAUCAUUCAUCAAAACUGUGGAAUGAACAUUAAACCAUCAUUAAAUAAAACUGUGGAUUAUAAUGA